CCCGCCGGCGACCGGCGCACGGGUGAGUAACACGUAUGCAACCUGGCCGCCACAGGGGGAUAACCCGCGGAAACGCGGCCUAAUACCCCGUGACGCCACCGGAGGGCAUCCUCCGGUGGCCAAAGGAGCGAUCCGGUGGCGGAUGGGCAUGCGGCGCAUUAGCUAGACGGCGGGGUGACGGCCCACCGUGGCGACGAUGCGUAGGGGUUCUGAGAGGAAGGCCCCCCACCACUGGGACUGAGACACGGCCCAGACUCCUACGGGAGGCAGCAG
rnacentral:rRNA from 1 species